AGUGAUCCUGCGCCGAAGAUUUCCGGGGCUAAAACUUACUACCGAAGCUACGGCAUCAGUAAUGAUGGGUAGGGGAGCUUCCCAUACGGGUUGAAGCAUGACCGUAAGGACAUGUGGACAGUAUGGGAGGGAGAAUGUUGGCAUGAGUAGCGAGAUGUGGGUGAGAAUCCCACAGGCCGUAAACCCAAGGUUUCCAGGGGAAGGUUCGUCCGCCCUGGGUUAGUCGGGACCUAAGCUGAGGCCGAAAGGCGUAGGUGAUGGACAACAGGUUGAUAUUCCUGUACUACCGAUAACC
rnacentral:rRNA from 1 species